rnacentral:antisense_RNA from 1 species
GGGGACUGAACAUCGUUCACCGAAUACACUUUGUGAUGCUGGGCUUGAAAUCUACUGUUUUCCUGUCUUAAAAGAGAAUUCUGUGACUCCAUGGAAGACAUCUGAAUUUUGUUAGCAAGGAGUUCUUCUGUAGCUGCACGUUCUCUCUCAACUGCUGCUGCCAGCAAGGUCUGGGAUUCACCUGAUUACAGGACAGAAAAAAAAAUCACAUACACAUACAGCCCAGAGACCAAAAUACCAAGUCAAUUCUGAUUUCAAACAUUUAAUGAUGCAAGUAGCCACACUUAAAACUGAUAACUAUUUAUUGCCUAAGGCAGGACUGUCUACUGAGACAAAUGAACCAAUCUUAACUUAUACCUGCUUUAUCACUCUUUUCCAAAAGUAUUUUAAUUUCAAAAUGGAGUCAUGCAUUAAAAGAGUAGUGGAUCACCAAAUGGUCCUGGAGCAAUUGGACAGCUAUAUGCAAAAAAACCAAAAAGCCUACACAUCACAUCAUUCACGAAAAUUAACUCAAAAUGGAUCAUAGACUUAUAUGUAAAACAUGAAACUAUAAAACUUUUAGGAAAAACCAGAGGAGAAAGUCUUCAGGAUCUAGAACAAGGCAGAUUUGACACAAAAAGCAAGAGCCAUAGAAAGAAAAACUGACAAACUGCUUCAAAAUUUUCAACUUUUAAAUCUAUGUGAAGAGGAUGAAAAGGCAAACUACAGAGUGAGAGCAAAUAAAUGCAAACCAUAUAUCUAGGAUUAGUAUCAGGAAUAUAUAACAAUCUAGUUAGAAAAUGGGUAAAAGACAUAGACAGAAAUUUCACCAUAGAGAAUGUACAAAUGGAAAAUAAGGACAUAAAAU